GAUUAUGGCUCAGAACGAACGCUGGCGGCGCGUCUUAAGCAUGCAAGUCGGACGGCAAGGGUUGUGCUUGCACAACUCCUAGAGUGGCGGACUGGUGAGUAACACGUGGGUAACCUGCCCAUAAGAGGGGGGAUAACAUCCGGAAACGGGUGCUAAUACCGCAUAGUUUUCUUGAUCGCAUGAUCGGGAAAGGAAAGACGGCCUUUGUGCUGUCGCUUAUGGAUGGACCCGCGGCGUAUUAGUUAGUUGGUGAGGUAACGGCUCACCAAGACGAUGAUACGUAGCCGACCUGAGAGGGUGAUCGGCCACAUUGGGACUGAGACACGGCCCAAACUCCUACGGGAGGCAGCAGUAGGGAAUCUUCCGCAAUGGACGAAAGUCUGACGGAGCAACGCCGCGUGAGUGAAAGAAGGUUUUCGGAUCGUAAAACUCUGUUGUCAGAGAAGAACAAGUUGGAGAGUAACUGCUCCAGCCUUGACGGUAUCUGACCAGAAAGCCACGGCUAACUACGUGCCAGCCGCCGC
rnacentral:rRNA from 1 species